GUGCUCAUUUUGGCAGCACAUAUACCAAAAUUGGAAUAAUACAGAUAAGAUUAGCAUGGCCUCUGCACAAGGAUGACACACAAAUUCGUGAAGCGUUCCCUAUUUCG
rnacentral:snRNA from 1 species